GUGCAAUGGCAUAAGCCAGCUUGACUGCGAGCGUGACGGCGCGAGCAGGUGCGAAAGCAGGUCAUAGUGAUCCGGUGGUUCUGAAUGGAAGGGCCAUCGCUCAACGGAUAAAAGGUACUCCGGGGAUAACAGGCUGAUACCGCCCAAGAGUUCAUAUCGACGGCGGUGUUUGGCACCUCGAUGUCGGCUCAUCACAUCCUGGGGCUGAAGUAGGUCCCAAGGGUAUGGCUGUUCGCCAUUUAAAGUGGUACGCGAGCUGGGUUUAGAACGUCGUGAGACAGUUCGGUCCCUAUCUGCCGUGGGCGCUGGAGAACUGAGGGGGGCUGCUCCUAGUACGAGAGGACCGGAGUGGACGCAUCACUGGUGUUCGGGUUGUCAUGCCAAUGGCACUGCCCGGUAGCUAAAUGCGGAAGAGAUAAGUGCUGAAAGCAUCUAAGCACGAAACUUGCCCCGAGAUGAGUUCUCCCUGACUC
rnacentral:rRNA from 1 species